rnacentral:rRNA from 1 species
GACGAACGCUGGCGGCGUGCCUAAUACAUGCAAGUAGAACGCUGAAGGAGGAGCUUGCUUCUCUGGAUGAGUUGCGAACGGGUGAGUAACGCGUAGGUAACCUGCCUUGUAGCGGGGGAUAACUAUUGGAAACGAUAGCUAAUACCGCAUAAUAUUGACUAUUGCAUGAUAGUCAGUUGAAAGUUUCAACUGCACCACUACCAGAUGGACCUGCGUUGUAUUAGCUAGUUGGUGGGGUAACGGCUCACCAAGGCGACGAUACAUAGCCGACCUGAGAGGGUGAGCGGCCAGACUGGGACGGUGACACGGCCCAGACGGCUACAGGAGGCAGCAGGAGGGAAGCUUCGGCAAGGGACGGAAGUCUGACCGAGCAACGCCGCGUGAGGGAAGAAGGUUGUCGGAUCGUAAAGCUCGGUUGUAAGAGAAGAACGAGUGUGAGAGUGGAAAGCUCACACUGUGACGGUAUCUGACCAGAAAGGGACGGCUAACUACGUG